rnacentral:rRNA from 1 species
UACGUAGGGUGCAAGCGUUGUCCGGAAUUAUUGGGCGUAAAGAGCUCGUAGGCGGUUUGUCGCGUCUGCUGUGAAAACGCGGGGCUCAACUCCGCGCCUGCAGUGGGUACGGGCAGACUAGAGUGCAGUAGGGGAGACUGGAAUUCCUGGUGUAGCGGUGGAAUGCGCAGAUAUCAGGAGGAACACCGGUGGCGAAGGCGGGUCUCUGGGCAGUAACUGACGCUGGAGGAGCGAAAGCGUGGGGAGCGAACAGG